UACGUAGGGUGCAAGCGUUGUCCGGAAUUAUUGGGCGUAAAGAGCUUGUAGGCGGUUUGUCGCGUCUGCUGUGAAAUUUCGGGGCUCAACCCCGAACUUGCAGUGGGUACGGGCAGACUAGAGUGUGGUAGGGGAGACUGGAAUUCCUGGUGUAGCGGUGAAAUGCGCAGAUAUCAGGAGGAACACCGAUGGCGAAGGCAGGUCUCUGGGCCAUAACUGACGCUGAGAAGCGGAAAGCAUGGGGAGCGAACAGG
rnacentral:rRNA from 1 species